GGGGUGUGCCACAGUGUUGUUUUGUGUUGAAAAUGUAAAAAAUAUAUAUAAUGAGCGAGUACAUCUUGAAUCCAUUUUCCAAACCGUGUUUUUGUCUUAUCCUGAAUCACUACGGUACACUUACAAUAAAUGUUUAUAUUCAGACUAUUUUAGUCUGGUUGGGGUCGGCAACGCUGCAGAGUAGCACAGUACCUGCGUGACUCGCCAUCAGGGGGAAAGGAAGUCGACCGGAAGUUGAAGUCGGCCGCGUGCCGCCAUCUUGUAGCAGAACUUCACUUGCGUUAGCAUCCCAUUGACUCCCAUUCAUUUUGGCGUCACUAUGACAGCGAAUAACUUUACAUCUGAGGCGUUUAAAGACUCCAUUUGUCCAUUAUUUAUUUCUAAAGAUACACGACAAUGUAUAAAGGGCUCCAUUACCUUCUAUGUUACAUUAUGGCCCCGUAACCACUCGACUCUCUGUCGCACAGUAAAGAAAUUACCGUACAGACAGGAGGAGAAGCUCGCAGGCAAUCGGGGAGACGUCAAGAGAUAUGGCGUACUGGCAUUACAUUUUAAAAUACUAUACAAAAUAAUUAAUCAGAAUACUUACUCCUGCUCACUCAGGCCAAAGAACUCCCCGCUCAAGCUCGCCGUCUCUGCAAGAUUAACGAUGGCAGUUUGCACGCACAGCUACUAGAAGAUUUACAUCUGUCAGACAGGUUGCUGAUGUCAUCAAGCUUAGUUUGAGUCUGCGCGUCAGAAACGGAAGUGCUAAAAAUCGCUAAAAAUGGGCUUCACUUGUCUCAAUUGAGUUCCAAUGGGGUCGCUGUGUCAAUUUCUUUUACUGUCUAUGCUCGCCAUAGAUGUAAACAGAGAGAAGUAGUUCCGGCUACAAUGUUCUUCCGCCAGACGCAAGCCCCAAAAGUUAUCGACUGCAGCUUUAAUUUAUUUGCAGAGAGAAGGUGUUUAAUAACAGGCGGGUUUCUGAGAUAAAGCAUUUUUAUGCAACCCAUAAAAAAAAAAAAAAAAAAAAAAAAAAAACCUAUAUGCUUAAUUUGCAGAUUUGAUUACAACUUCUGACUUGUAUUGCUCCAUUAUAGCUUAAACAACAUGGCUAUGAAACAGUAAUUUGAUGACACAAAGAAGAGAGAACUUUGUAAAUAAAUAUGUAAAAGUUUGUUAUAUUUUUCCA
ensembl:lncRNA